GACGAACGCUGGCGGCGUGCCUAAUACAUGCAAGUCGAACGAGAGCGACCGGUGCUUGCACUGGUCAAUCUAGUGGCGAACGGGUGAGUAACACGUGGGUAACCUGCCCAUCAGAGGGGGAUAACAUUCGGAAACGGAUGCUAAAACCGCAUAGGUCUUCGAACCGCAUGGUUUGAAGAGGAAAAGAGGCGCAAGCUUCUGCUGAUGGAUGGACCCGCGGUGCAUUAGCUAGUUGGUGAGGUAACGGCUCACCAAGGCCGUGAAGCAUAGCCGACCUGAGAGGGUGAUCGGCCACAUUGGGACUGAGACACGGCCCAAACUCCUACGGGAGGCAGCAGUAGGGAAUCUUCCGCAAAGGACGCAAGUCUGACGGAGCAACGCCGCGUGAGUGAAGAAGGUUUUCGGAUCGUAAAACUCUGUUGUUAGAGAAGAACAAGUGCUAGAGUAACUGUUAGCGCCUUGACGGUAUCUAACCAGAAAGCCACGGCUAACUACGUG
rnacentral:rRNA from 1 species